GCGGGAAGGUUCCGAGUCCGCCCGGUCCCCGGCCCUCUCCUUCCCGGGCGGGCGGGCAGCCGCGGGGGGCGAAGCGGGAAUUGCGGUACCCGCGGGGUGGCCGUCGAAUGUUUGGGAACCCAGAAAGGGCACGAUUUCCACCCAGCAGGGAAAGGUGUUGCCAGAGUUUUGGAAGGAGACAUCCUAAAAAAAUGGCAUUUUUACAUAAACACAUGCGUGAAGAAGAGGGGAAAAACUAUAAAACCCCAAGGAGACAGGCUGAGAGAGAUGUCCACAAAACACCGUGAGAUUCCAUAACACCUGGAGGAUAACACCAUAGCAACCUGGAGGAGAUUCCUCACCUUUAAAUGAAGAAAUUUCUAGCCAUUUACAGUUUACAGCUGCUUGGAUGUUCAUUGAAAGUACUGUGUUCUUGUGCCAGGACCGGAACAGAGCUCUGGGGAGCCAGGCAAAGGGAAAAUCUCAGAUGUUUCUGCAAGCAGAAACAAAUAAUAUGGGAAGAACCUCCAUCAACUAUUAUACCAAACUGGGUGACUACAAAGCAUUAACCUAGUUAAUUGUAGUUGGGCUUUCAGCAGCAAAGGUAAUCAAAUAUUCUGUUGUUUCCAUUCAGGAGUACUUUUAAGGUGAGA